UACGUAGGGGGCAAGCGUUGUUCGGAUUUACUGGGCGUAAAGGGCGCGUAGGCGGCAUAUUAAGUCAGCUGUGAAAUCUCCGAGCUUAACUCGGAACUGUCAGCUGAUACUGAUGUGCUAGAGUGCAGAAAGGGCAAUCAGAAUUCUUGGUGUAGCGGUGAAAUGCGUAGAUAUCAAGAGGAAUACCUGAGGCGAAGGCGGGGUUGCUAGGCUGACACUGACGCUGAGGCGCGAAAGCCAGGGGGAGCAAACGGGG
rnacentral:rRNA from 1 species